UUGGAGGAUAGGUACGAAGUCCCGUGUCUAAAUCAAGUUUACUCAAUGAGGGAAUAUGACUUCUAUCAUAAAUUUUGUAGCCAAUAAAGAAAGCAAUCACAAUUGGAGCAGCAAGAUAUCCUUGGAAAAAAUCGUUAGCAUUUGGCUUUGAACCGAUGGGGAACAAAGAUACAUAGAAUUCGGCCAUAAGACACAAAAUGUUGAAAGCCAAUCCAAUAGCAGAACCCCAAAUACCCAUAGGUGAUACAAAUCCAAGUUGAUCCAAAGAACGGCCUUGUUUCUUCAUAGCAAGACGGAAGACGAUAUGGCAAAGAUUAAUACUGCCCCAUGAGAAGAAGUUUGAGAUACCGGAAAUAGCCAAUAACCAAUCGAAAACAGUGUCACUAACAUCACCGGCGGCAUUGAUAUAUGCAAAAAAUCCAAACAACAAACAAACAGCCAUAGCGAGGAGGGGACGACCAAGACGAUCAGUAUAUGCAAAGAAGCGAGGUGCGUCACCUUUAGCGGCCAUAGCAUGAAGAGUACGACUAGCAGUGAAAGUACAAGAAUUUGCAACAGAGACGGUAGAAAUGAUAAUUACUGCAUUGAAAACGGAAGGAAGGCCUCUGAUGUUUGCUUCUUUAAUGGCCAACACGAAGGGAGAGGUACUACCAUCGCUGCUAUUACCCAUCAAACGAGGAUCAUCUGGUGAAACAAGCAGACCAAUUAAAAUUAAAGAUACGACGUAGAAAAUAGCAAUACGCCAAAAGACCUGUUUGGUAGCACGAGGGAGAGACUUUUGAGGAUCUUCAGCUUCAGCAGCAGCUAAACCAACAACUUCAGUACCUGAGAAGGAGAAACCGGCAGUAGUAAACACGGAACAAAAACCUUUAAAGCUAUGACGGAAAGGUUUGUUUUUAAUAAUUUUACCACCGAUGUAGCCACGAGGAUCAGUAGGAACACCACCGCAAUUAAUAAUAAUAGCCAAAAUAAUAAAACCAGUAGUGGCAACAACUUUGAGCGUAGAUAGAAUAAAUUCAACUUCACCA